rnacentral:tRNA from 1 species
GCCGGUGUAGCUCAGUUGGUAGAGCGGUACAUUCGUAAUGUAUAGGUCCGUGGUUCGAUUCCGCGCACCGGCACCA